rnacentral:lncRNA from 1 species
UGUGACCUACACCACAAUGCUGGAUCCUUUAACCCACUGUUCAGGGGCCCAGGAUUGAACCUGAGUCCUAGUGCUGCAGAGACGCCACUGAUCUCAUUACACCACAGCAGCAACUCUAGUUUUAACCAAUUUUAAUGCAAAUUGUCACAUGUGGCUAGUGGAGACCCUACUGGGCAAUACAGCUCUGAGAUACCACAGGUCCCACUCUACUCCACUUUAUGAAACCCUCCCCCUCAACAUCACACAUCUGGGUUAACUGGCCCCCAGCGGUGUUUUCAUUCAUCAUUCAUGUUUUAAAAUACUGUGUCGCCAGGAAGGGCAGAUUGUAAUUGUAUUGUAUAUGCUCUUUUGUUCUUUUUGUUCAACAAAUACUCUUUCUACAGGAGGCAUCAGGUCUGAGACAGACACAAUGUUUACUAUCUCAAGGGCAGCACAGACCGAUCCAUCUAAAACAGCCCUGCCAGGACUGGGGGGAUGCACAUGGGGCGGGGGGUGUGGGGGGAAGGUCCUCAGGGAGGAGGGUGGCAUUCGAAAACCCAACCUGAACGUGGCAGGACAGAGAGGUGCCCUGUAAGGAAGAACUAAGAAUAAGUACAAGUCAGCUGGGAUGGGUGGGCUGUUCUCAGGAGAGGAAACAGCAUGGCCUAUUCUAGGGACUCAAAGAAAUUCCCUAGAAGGUGGAAUGUGGGGGCAGGUGAUUGUGAAAGAUUGGCAAAGGGUAAGAUCAUGCAGGGUAUUUGAACUGACUUUGGACUUUGUCCUGAAGGCCAAUAGAAAACCACUGAAAAAUUUUAAGCAGAAGAGUAGGUGCCUGUCAUCUCUACGUUCAAAAUAAGCCAGCAAGAAUUACCAUACAAUCCAUCAAUUCCACUUUUGUAGAUACCCAAAAAAACGAAAGCAAGGACUUGAAUAGACAUUUAUAUACCCAUGUUCACAGCGCCAUUAUGUACAAUAACCAAAGGGUGGAAACAACCCAAGUGUCCAUCAAUAGAUGGAUGGAUAAACAAACUAUAGUCUAUAUAUACAAUGAAAUAUUAUUCAGCCUUAAAAAAUGAAGGACAUUCUUAGAGGUUGAAUCAGAGCUUCAACUGCUGGCCUACACCACAGUCACAGCAACGCCAGAUCCUUAACCCACUGAGUAGGGCCAGGGAUCAAACCUGUAUCCUCAUGGAUACUAGUGGGGUUUAUACCGCUGAGCCACAAGAGGAAUUCCAGGAAGGAAAUUCUGACUCAUGCUACUACAUGAAGAAUCUUGAAAAUAUUAUGCUAAGUGAGUAAGUCAGAGACAAAAAGACAAACAUAUGAUUCCACUUAUAUGAGGAAACUAGAAUAGUCAAAUUCAUAGAGACAGAAAGUAAAAUGAUGGUUGCCAGGGGCUGGGGGGAGGAGGAGGAAAUGGGGAGUUCUUAAUUCAUGGGCACAGAGAUUCCGUUUAGGAAGAUGCACAUGGUCUAGAGAUGGAUGGGGGUGAUGGUUGCACAACAAGGUGAAUGAAUUUAAUGCCACCGAACUGUGCGCUUAAAAGUGGUCAAAAUGGUAGAUUUUAUGUUACAUACAGUUUAGCACAGUAAAGAGUAAAUAAAUAACAUUAAAUAAAAUAGACCUUUCAUCAUUUCUUCCCAAAACCAUAUAAAAACCUCCUAAGUGAUCUCUCUGUGACCAUUCUUGAUCCCUUAUAUAUUGUUUAUUUUCUACUCAACAAAAGAUCGCUGGAUGAAACAUGAGUCAGGUCACCUCCUUUCCCUGCUGGAAAGCUUCCAGCAGUUGGACAGGCCUCCAGGGACCCAGGCCCUCGUCACCUCCCUGGCCUCAUCUCCUCCCCCCGCCAAUGGCUGACUCCACUCCAGCCUCACUGGCCUCUUUGAACUCACUAAGAAAGCUCUCACUUCAGGACUCUCUCAUUCUGGAAUAUUCUUUCCAUCCAUAUUGCCUAGUUUGCCUCCUGACUUCCUCCUAAAGGUGAUAUCACUUCUCAAACGACUUCUUUGACCCUCCUAUCUAAAAAUAUAGAUAACCUCCAACUAACUGCUUUCCCUGCCCAACUGUCAUCUAUGUCCAACUCUUAAUUUGUUUAUUGUCUCUUUCCUCUGCAAUGUAACUUCUGCAAAGGCGAGGACUUGGCUUUGUAUGCUGCUUAUUCCAGUAACAGGAACCAUGCCGGUCAUGUAGGAAACAUUCAAUAAAUAUCCAGUGAAUGAAAGAAUAUUUGCAUUUUAGAAAGAUGGUGAGAAUGGACUGCCUUGUGGACUAGCAUGGGAGAAACCAGCUGGGUGGCUGCUUUUUAAUCACACAAGCGGUUGAGAUGGCCAGGAUGGUGCCAGUGGGGGCACAGGGAGACUUGGAGAAACAGAGAUAUUUGGAAAAAUGAAUCAAGAGGCAGGAUGGAGGGUUCAUUCAAUGAAGUAGAAAACUCAGAAAGAGCAGCUUUGUGGGAGAAGCGAGUUCUGUUUUAAACUCACUGAGUGGACUUUCUUUAUAGAAAUGUUCAGUGGGCAGUUACAUUUCUUCGAGAGAGAAAUCUGGGCUAGAAAUGCCAAUUUGGCAGUUCAUAAAUAUAAUCUCAGUGGAAAUUUUGAUAACUGUUG